GCAGAUGCUAAUUUCCUAUCUAAUGUUUUGAAAUAUUUCAAUGAAUGACAACAGUGACUUGAAGGUCCAAAAGUGUUCAAUACAUGUUGGGGAUGUUAUUCUUGAGCAGUGCUGUUUCUGCGUGUGAACAGAAAGCGUCUCUGGUGUUUUCCUGAUAUGUCUGAUGUCAGUCGAGUUUUUGUGGUGCUGAUUCUCAUUUCAUGUUCAUGCCGCUGACCUCCUUUCAUGCUUGUAACUUGUGUGCAUUACUUCAAAGCAACUCUCACAUUUUCACCCACUUUAAGAGUGGAACCCGUCUAGGUAUCUCUGCCAGACUUCAAGAGCUUUAACUAACACAACGAGCGAGCGAGGAAGACUUGUGCGUUCUCAUUAAAAGACUCCAGGUGUUGUUUUCAUUGAAGUUGGAUCUAUCAUUUAAUUAAUAUCUUUUUCUUCUUGCUCAGACUAUUUUUGGUCUGAAGGAGGUUUAUUAUUCAAGACCCACGCUGUGCCCAGCUAGGCAUGGAUCGACUGUGCAGUAGAAUCGUUGUUCUUUUACUCACUGGAGUGUUGAUCACCAGUACAAGUCCAGAGGAACUCGAAGUCUAUUUGGAACCAAAGUACAUUGAAGUCUAUGAAGGAGACUCAGUCACGAUCAACUGCACUUUUCAGCCCGGUGAAAAUUAUAAACUGAGGUGGUACUACAGUCCGACUGAUUUAGACUGUAACUCUGGAACAGAAGGAUUACAUGAAAAAAGUUUUAAUAAUACAGAAAAUAAAGACACUUGGUCAAUAUUCACCAUUAAUUCCAUCAAAACCAGUGAGAGUGGAUGGUACUUCUGCAAGGUUAUAAAAGAUAUUCCUGUUCUCUUAGAAAAAUGCAGUAAUGGAGCACAAGUUCUGGUCGAUGCCAACAGCACCCAGGAAUAUCCAAAACAGCCACAGAUGCAGAAUCCAACUACACAAGAUUACCCCACAACUUGCUUGAUCAGUGCCACAACAAUCCUCACAACAUCCUCCUCACCACCGUCCAGCAUUGGUCAGUGGUGGAUAUGGCUAGCGUCGGCAGCUGGAUGCGUAGUACUAGUUGUGUCCAUUGUUGUCAUAUGUAUCGUGACUCGCAAACCGAAAGAGAACAUCUAUAUGAACACCAAACCAGUGGAAUCGAGCUGCUGGAGGCAAAACCGUACUAAGAGGGACAUCUGCGACCUGCCUGAGUCCAAAAAGACUGACACCAUUAAACCACUGAGGAAGUACGACACUCUUUCAAGCAACAGAAUCCGCAGGCCAUAA
ensembl:lncRNA